rnacentral:rRNA from 1 species
UACGUAGGGGGCUAGCGUUGUCCGGAUUUAUUGGGCGUAAAGAGCGUGUAGGCGGCCAGAUAGGUCUGCUGUGAAAACUCGAGGCUCAACCUCGAGAUGUCGGCAGAAACCAUCUGGCUAGAGUCCGGAAGAGGAGAGUGGAAUUCCCGGUGUAGCGGUGAAAUGCGCAGAUAUCGGGAAGAACACCCGUGGCGAAGGCGGCUCUCUGGGACGGUACUGACGCUGAGACGCGAAAGCGUGGGGAGCGAACAGG